AGAGUUUGAUCAUGGCUCAGAACGAACGCUGGCGGCGUGCUUAACACAUGCAAGUCGAACGCGAACGAGUUCUUCGGAACUUCAGUAGAGUGGCGCACGGGUGAGUAACGCGUAAGUAAUCUACCCUCGCAUUUGGGAUAACCCACCGAAAGGUGUGCUAAUACCGGAUACGUCUAUUUUAAUAUCUUUUUUAUAGAGAAAGGUGGCCUCUGAUUCAAGCUACUGUGCGGGGAGGAGCUUGCGUACCAUUAGCUAGUUGGUAGGGUAAUGGCCUACCAAGGCAACGAUGGUUAGCGGGUCUGAGAGGAUGAUCCGCCACACUGGAACUGAAACACGGACCAGACUCCUACGGGAGGCAGCAGUGAGGAAUAUUGCGCAAUGGGGGCAACCCCGACGCAGCGACGCCGCGUGGAUGAUGAAGGCCUUCGGGUUGUAAAAUCCUGUCAGAUGGGAAGAAGUGUAAUAUGGUUAAUAUCUGUAUCAUUUGACGGUACCAUCAAAGGAAGCACCGGCUAACUCCGUGCCAGCAGCCGCGGUAAUACGGAGGGUGCAAGCGUUGUUCGGAAUUACUGGGCGUAAAGCGCGCGUAGGCGGUUGUAUAAGUCAGAUGUGAAAGUCCAUGGCUCAACCAUGGAAGUGCAUUUGAAACUGUAUAACUUGAGUACUGGAGGGGGUGGUGGAAUUCCCGGUGUAGAGGUGAAAUUCGUAGAUAUCGGGAGGAAUACCGGUGGCGAAGGCGACCACCUGGCCAGAUACUGACGCUGAGGUGCGAAAGCGUGGGGAGCAAACAGGAUUAGAUACCCUGGUAGUCCACGCCGUAAACGAUGUGAACUAGGUGUUGGGAUGGUUAAUCGUCUCAUUGCCGGAGCUAACGCAUUAAGUUCACCGCCUGGGGAGUACGGUCGCAAGAUUAAAACUCAAAGGAAUUGACGGGGGC
rnacentral:rRNA from 1 species